rnacentral:rRNA from 1 species
GACGUAGGGCGCGAGCGUUGUCCGGAUUUAUUGGGCGUAAAGAGCGUGUAGGCGGCCAGGUAGGUCUGCUGUGAAAACUCGAGGCUCAACCUCGAGACGUCGGCGGAAACCAUCUGGCUAGAGUCCGGAAGAGGAGAGUGGAAUUCCUGGUGUAGCGGUGAAAUGCGCAGAUAUCAGGAAGAACACCAAUGGCGAAGGCAGCUCUCUGGGACGGUACUGACGCUGAGACGCGAAAGCGUGGGGAGCGAACAGG